ensembl:lncRNA
UUGACAAAUUUGCAGGAAAGUUGCAAUGUCGUCUCCCACAACUCCCUCCCUUCUACACCAAGGGCGGAAAUUCUGCCCUGUGGACAUGGUGUGGACAUGGUCAGAGUUCUAAUCCGUUGUAAACAAUGAGAAUGGCUACACCAGACAUGGAAACAGAACAUACGCCCAUGUCCAAACAGAAAACUCAGAUAAAGAUCUGGCUUCAAUUUUUAUUAUUUUCCGCAAGGUUUGCGUGGCCCCUUUUACAUAGAGUCUGGUAAUAAAUCUUUGAAAUGUAAUAAAAAAUAUAUAUAUUUUGCUGUGAAUAAUGAAGGAAGCAAUAUAUCCUAUUAUUUCCCGAACCCUCGAGAGCUGUUGCCAUGGAGAUUUAAAGUUACUUUCUGUUUGAAGAUAAGGUAGCAGCUAGUGUUGAAGAAUGGAUUACUUGAAAUUGGACGACUUUAAAUUAAUAUAUGAAAUUGAACAACAUAAACACCUAUACCGAUAAAAUAAAUCAACAAGGAUAGCAAAACAGAUUGAUAACAGGCUGCUUUUUUUCCUUAUUUGUGAAGGCUGAGACAUUCCUAACAUAGUAUUCAGUCUUACUGGUGGUCCUAUUGUAUCAAUGUAAUGUUUGCAAAUGAGGGAUGAGAAGCCCCCCGCCCCCUUGCUAGUAUUUAGUCUCCGCUGUUCUUCCAAAACCAAAUCUAUUCUUGAGGUUCCAAAAAUGUUCAAAGUAAUUUGACUUUAAAUGUGCGUUUUGAUGAUUAAAGUCCAGUUUUGAGAAAUGUUUAAGCUUAGCUAUAGAAUCUUCCAUUUUCGCGGUCAAGUUCAAUAUAAGGCUCUGGCUCCCCUGACCGCACUUCGUUGUGGAUAAGUAAAGCCUAUUUUGCUAAAAAAAAAAAUUAGUCCUGGUAAUCUUUUGGUUGGCAUGAUGGUACGGUUAUUAAGAGGACCAUUUCUCAAUGGUUUUGUUCUUUAAUGAAUGUUUGUUUAUUAAUUACUUAUUUUUCAACAAAUAACUCAAUUAUAAUUACA